GUCGUGACCUAAAACGUCGACUUUACUAUUCCUCUGAUGUUGCCUGAUUUGCUGAGUUCCUCCAGCUUCACACUGUAUUGACCAGUAACCCAACGGCAAGUACAAAUUUGCGCAAAGAUAAGAGGCAUGUAAUUAGUAUAAUUGCAGACCCCGAUCUCACUUGAGAGAGCUAUCUCCCCGCUGCUAAACCCCGGAGAGGGAUCCCAAGGAGCUACCAUCCUGAGAGCGAUCUCAACAGCCAUCUCCAGGAAAGGAACCUGAAAGAGCUAUAUCACCGAGAGCUACCUGCACUGCUAUCACUGGAAAAGGGAUCCCAAUAGCAAAUCCGAAAACUCCUGACACAAGCUUGUUCCAUACCAGAGGCAUGAAUGGUAACCGACCACGGCCUACAGACCAAACAACCGACAACGUCCAAAGACCACGGACCUGACUGACACCGCAAGGCCUCAGGCACAUCUUCAGGUGAGAAGCGGUCCGCAAAACCAGCAUGAAGUAAGGAAGACAAAGUACUCACCUGAUAAAUCCAAAACACGUCCUACUGCAUCAGUGGACUCAACCCAGACUAAAGGCCGACACAGUCCAAAGCCUUCAUCAAGGCACCGGUACGGCAAGCGAGAAGAGCCAGGUCUACUUCAAAAUCGCAUUUUUCCCCACUGAUGCAGCCAGACCUACUGAGCUUUUCCAGCAACUUUGUUUUUUGUUCCCGUUUUCUCUGAUUGGUUGGGGCAUCUGCCCCUUGCUUACUAUUGGUCGUGAGACGUCAGCAAUCAGGAGGAUCGGUUGCUGGAGCAUGCGCACAGUGAAUUGGAAUCGUGAGCGAGGAUGGAAUGUUGUCAAUGCUGCGUGUGAUGGCCUGAAAGAAGUGUUCGAAUAUCUCAUGCACAGGCGCAUCAAGUGGGCCAGUAGCGUGGACUCAUGGCGGUGUCACCAGAGGUGAAUUUCGGUUCCCAGCAACUUCUGCAUUGAUGAGGUAGUCCUUGCAUUGACUCAUGGCUGCUGCUAAGGAGGCACGUUUGGGUUCCCAGUAGUGUCAGUGCUCUGUGCAGCCUCAUGGAGGCAGAGGCAAGUCUGAGGCCCAAUAUGAGACCCAACAGCACCAGCAGCGGCUGCAUCGGCGAGGUGGACUUGAAAUGGAUUCAUGGUGGCAGUCGAGUUUCAACUAGUGUGGUGCCCAGCAGAAUUGGUGGCGUCUGUGUUGUUGAGAUCCAAGGAGGACUCCCAGCGGUGAAGUCAUCAGUGGAGUUUAGAUGGUGUGGAAGAAUGGCAACUUCCAUUCCAACAACUGUGGCCAGCUGAAGGGAAUGCAUAUUUGGCCACCAGGCCCAUGACACAGCACUUGACAAGAAGGACUGUAAAGUUGGAUAUUUUCUUUAUUUCUUCAUCAUUCUGCAUUUAUAUUGUAUGUUUGGUUUACUUUUCUGUUUUAGGAUGGUGCUGGAGAGUGGCAACUCUAGCAUACUUUUCACACUGUUGUAACAAGAUACAUGUGACAAUAAACAAAUCAAAUGCUUGCAGAACAUGUUUUCCCUGGAAGCAGAGACGAGGACUGUAGGGCACAGCAUCAGAACCCUUUAUAACUGAGAUGCAAAAUUUCUUCAGCCAGAAGCUGGUGAAUUGCCACCAGAAGACUGGUGGCCAAAUCAUUUGGUGUAUUUAAAUACAGAAAUAGGUUCUUGAUUAGUAAGGGGAUCAGGGGUUAUGGGGAGAUGUCAGGAGACUUGGGUUGAGAAAUAACAGCCAUGAUUGAAAAGGGGAACUGAAUCAGUGGGCCGAAUGGCCUAAUUCUACUCCUUUCCCUUUUAUGGUCCUAUUUGGCCAAUCGAGCCUGUUCUGUAAGAUUGUAGCUGGUCUGAUUCAGACUUCAACUCCACUUUAUUUCCAAUCUCCUGGGACCCCGACUUUGCAUUUCUAACCUUGACUGAAACUUCUGAUUUCUGUCAUCUCCUUCCCCAGGGAUUUAUAAAAUUUGAGGGCAGCAAGAAUUUAUUUUCCUGGCUUCUGAUAUCUUUCCAGCUGCAGGCUCCAGCAGGAGUUUUCAAAACAGCUAGGUUCUUUGGCAGGUGAGUAUUUUUGAGCAUUCAUCUACAAUUUCAAUAUUUCUGAGCAGUGCUGUGGCUACUUGACUGUGGAUCUGAAUCCAUGUCCAUAUAUUGCUCUGUUUUACCUCCUGAUUUGAUUUGAUUUAUUGUUGUCUUGUCCACUCACCUCUCAGCCUUGAAUGAUGGUUAAAAUAAAAAUCUUGUUUGGUA